rnacentral:sRNA from 1 species
UAAGAAGUGGUGUAGAGCCAGGUCUUCC